UUGGGAAUCUUGGACAAUGGGGGAAACCCUGAUCCAGCCAUGCCGCGUGAGUGAUGAAGGCCUUCGGGUUGUAAAACUCUUUCGACGGGGACGAUAAUGACGGUACCCGUAGAAGAAGCUCCGGCUAACUUCGUGCCAGCAGCCGCGGUAAUACGAAGGGGGCUAGCGUUGUUCGGAAUUACUGGGCGUAAAGCGCGCGCAGGCGGUCUUCCAAGUCAGUGGUGAAAGCCCGGAGCUCAACUCCGGAACUGCCAUUGAAACUGUUAGACUUGAGGACGAGAGAGGUGAGUGGAAUUCCCAGUGUAGAGGUGAAAUUCGUAGAUAUUGGGAAGAACACCGGUGGCGAAGGCGGCUCACUGGCUCGUAUCUGACGCUCAGGCGCGAUAGCGUGGGGAUCAAACAGG
rnacentral:rRNA from 1 species